rnacentral:rRNA from 1 species
CCUACGGGAGGCAGCAGUGAGGAAUAUUGGUCAAUGGACGCAAGUCUGAACCAGCCAUGCCGCGUGCAGGAUGACGGCCCUAUGGGUUGUAAACUGCUUUAAUAUAGGAAGAAACCCCCCUACGUGUAGGGGGCUGACGGUACUGUAAGAAUAAGCAUCGGCUAACUCCGUGCCAGCAGCCGCGGUAAUACGGAGGAUGCAAGCGUUAUCCGGAUUCAUUGGGUUUAAAGGGUGCGUAGGCGGGGCAGUAAGUCAGUGGUGAAAUCCUGCGGCUUAACCGUAGAACUGCCAUUGAUACUGUUGUCCUUGAGUAUGGUUGAAGUGGGCGGAAUAUGUAAUGUAGCGGUGAAAUGCAUAGAUAUUACAUAGAACACCAAUUGCAAAGGCAGCUCACUAAGCCAUUACUGACGCUGAGGCACGAAAGCGUGGGGAGCGAACAGGAUUAGAUACCCUGGUAGUCCACGCUGUAAACGAUGAUCACUCGUUGUUGGCAAUACAUCGUCAGCGACUGAGCGAAAGCAUUAAGUGAUCCACCUGGGGAGUACGAUCGCAAGAUUGAAACUCAAAGGAAUUGACGG